GCUAAAGUUACCUACAGUGACAAUGAAGUUGAUCAGCACUCUCAAUGACCCACUGAGAUUUUGGUGGAUAAAGUUGCUUCUUCUUUUUCGAUUUGACCCAUCACAGUAUACAGGACUCAUGGGGCUUAGCUGGAGGAAAAUUAUUAGUGACCGCUAUUAUCUGAUUGGCCUUUGAUUUUCUUUGCCCUCAGGAUGAAUUCUUUUCCUGUAGACUUAUCACCUUUCAAAUAAAUAAUAGCCUAGAAUUCCUGUCCUACAAGUUCUUCAAGUAUGUCCAGACAUAAAUAUUUGCCAAAUAUAUUAAGAAAUAUCUAGCAAACUUGGGAGGACUACUUAUAUUCAGCACAGAACAAUUGAAAAGGAGAAACUAACUGACUCUGUAAUACCAAUAAAGUAAGUUUGUGUCAUUAGACUCCAAAAUUAUAAUGGUCUUUAUCUAAUCUCCAAAAUUCUUAUUGACAUUGUUUCCUUUAUUCUUAACAUUCCUAAUGUCUCUGGAUCACUUUUCAUUUCUGUUGAUUCGAAUAUUUAUUUAUUCAAAAUCAUCUUGGGUGUUAUAGCUCUAGAUUUGGUGGAAUAAAUUUCUGUAAUAAUUUUUAGCAAUAUGAAGCAUUCCUUGAAAUCCAGUGUUUCUAUGGAACCUCUUAAGUGAAUACAGUGGGGAACAUAUUUUUGAAGAUUAAUUGUAAGAGAUGUCACAAUUGUUAGUACUCUUGUUUAGAAGUUACAGAGUCCUGGCUGGGUGCAGUGGCUCAUGCAUGUAUUCCCAGCACUUUGGGAGGCUGAGGCAGGUGGAUUGCUUGAGCCCAGGCAUUCACUACCAGCCUAAGCAACAUGGUGAAACCCCAUCUUGACCAAAAAAAAAAAUGCAAAAAUUAGCCAGGCAUGGUGACAUGCACCUGUAGUCCCAACUACUUGGGAGGCUGAGGUGUGAGGAUCACCUGAGCCCAGGGAGGUUGAGGCUGUAGUGAGCUGUGAUUGUGCCACUGCGUUACAGCCUGGGUGGCAGAGUAGGGCCCUGUCUCAAAACAAACAAACAAAC
rnacentral:lncRNA from 1 species